UGGGACACUAUGGUCACCAAAACCUAAAGAU
rnacentral:piRNA from 1 species